GGAUAGCGGAGAAAUUCCAAUCGAACUCGGAGAUAGCUGGUUCUCCUCGAAAUAGUUUUAGGACUAGCCUUGUUUCGUAGCAUUUGGGGGUAGAGCACUGAAUGAGGUAGGGGCCAACACGGUUACUGAACUCUAUCAAACUACGAAUACCAAAUGUGUAAGAACAAGAGUCAGACUGCGGGAGCUAAGUUCCGUGGUCAAAAGGGAAAGAGCCCAGAUCGUCAAUUAAGGUCCCAAAGAUAUAGUUAAGUGGAAAACGAUGUGAUUUUGCGUAAACAACCAGGAUGUUGGCUUAGAAGCAGCCAUUCAUUCAAAGAGUGCGUAAUAGCUCACUGGUCGAGUGAAGUUGCGCGGAAAAUUACCGGGGCUAAACUAUACACCGAAAUUGCGGAUUUGCAUAGAAAUAUGUAAGUGGUAGAGGAGCAUUCUAUAGUAGGACGAAGCAUAAUCGAAAGGAUAUGUGGACGAGAUAGAAGAGAGAAUGCCGGAAUAAGUAGCGAAAGCAUGGUGAGAAUCCAUGCCAUCGAAAGUCUAAGGUUUCCUGGGGAAGGUUCGUCCGCCCAGGGUAAGUCGGGACCUAAGGAGAGGCCGAAAAGCGUAUCCGAUGGACAGCAGGUAGAAAUUCCUGCACUACGUAAUACUUAAAAGACAUAAAUGACACAGGAGUGGAAGAUAAGCGAGGAAGAGGAAAGACUCGUAUCGAAAGAUAUAGUGAAAAUUAAAGUAACGAAUUAUCAAGAAGCUAAUGGCGAGAAAAGUUUAUGGAUAUUGUAUUAAGUACCCGUACCGCAAACCGACACAGGUAGAUGAGGAGAAGAUCCUAAGAUGAGCGAGAGAAGCAUUGUUAAGGAACUCGGCAAACUGACCCCGUAACUUCGGAAUAAGGGGUGCUGGAGUAGAAUCCAGUCGCAGAGAAUAGUCCCAAGCAACUGUUUAACAAAAACACAGGUUUCUGCUAAAUCGAAAGAUGAAGUAUAGGAGCUGACACCUGCCCAGUGCUGGAAGGUUAAGGGAAAGAGUUAGACGCAAGUCGAAGCUUAGAACUAAAGCCCCAGUGAACGGCGGCCGUAACUAUAACGGUCCUAAGGUAGCGAAAUUCCUUGUCAGGUAAGUUCUGACCCGCACGAAAGGUGUAAUGAUUUGGGAGCUGUCUCGACAAUGUACUCGGCGAAAUUGUAGUACUAGUGAAGAUGCUAGUUACCUGCGACAAGACAGAAAGACCCCAUGGAGCUUUACUGCAGCUUGAUACUGGGUUUCGGUAAUUUAUGUACAGGAUAGGUGGGAUGCUAAGAAGUAUGUGCGCCAGCGCAUAUGGAGCAGACGUUGGGAUACCACCCUUAAAUUACUGGAAUUCUAACUAUAAGUCCUAAGCGGGCUUGAGGACAAUGUCAGGCGGGCAGUUUGACUGGGGCGGUCGCCUCCUAAAGAGUAACGGAGGCGCGCAAAGGUUUCCUCAGCGCGGACAGAAAUCGCGCGAAAGAGUGCAAAGGCAGAAGGAAGCUUAACUGAGAGACAGACAUGUCGACCAGAUACGAAAGUAGGUCUUAGUGAUCCGGUGGUUGUAAGUGGAAAUGCCAUCGCUCAACGGACAAAAGUUACCCUGGGGAUAACAGGCUUAUCUCCCCCAAGAGUUCACAUCGACGGGGAGGUUUGGCACCUCGAUGUCGGCUCAUCACAUCCUGGGGCUGGAGUAGGUCCCAAGGGUUGGGCUGUUCGCCCAUUAAAGUGGUACGCGAGCUGGGUUCAGAACGUCGUGAGACAGUUCGGUCCUUAUCUGUCGCAGGCGAAGGAUAUUUGAAGGGAGUUGACCUUAGUACGAGAGGACCAGGUUGAAGGAACCGAUGGUGCACCAGUUGUACUACCAAGUGCAUAGCUGGAUAGCUAAGUUCCGAAGGGAUAAACGCUGAAAGCAUCUAAGUGUGAAGCCCACCCUAAGAUAAGAUAUCCCAUAUCGAAAGAUAGUAAGAUUCCAAUAAGACUAAUUGGUAGAUAGGUUGGAGGUGUAAGUAUAGUGAUAUAUUGAGCUGACCAAUACUAAUAAAUCGAGGGCUUAACUAU
rnacentral:rRNA from 1 species